UAAUAAUGAACUCAAGUUUAUAUUCAAUUGAUUUGACAAAUAUAUUUACAAAGCAGAUGUUUGCCCCUAAUCAAACCCAGGUCAAAACCUAAAACGGCACCAAAAUGACGUCAUUUCAUUAUUAUUAUUAUUAUUAUUUGUUUUGAUUUACCGCACCGUUUGGCUUAGAAAAGGCAAAAGCAACAACAACCCAGCUUUUAUCUUCCUCUUUGUUUCACCACACAACCCGAACAUAGAACCCAAUUGUAAAAGCCAAAAGCAACGAGAAUGUAGUUGCUUUCUCUUCCUCUAGGCGAUAGGGUUUGGCUUAGAUCACGCUCAAGCAAAAGCUUGAACAAGGAUGAGUUUCAGCAUUAUCCUUCAAAGAUGAGUUUGGGCAUUUACAGUGGCUGUGAAAAUUUUCUAAUAGAAAAUUCGUUUUCUAUGUGGCUUUGCAAUAAGGUAAGGUACUGUCUUCUUUGGUAUAAAGUUGAGUUUCAAAGCUUGAAUUUUUCUUGAUGUUGAUUAAUAAGCGGGUAUUGGAUUACAAAUGGUAAUUUCAGGAUGUGGUUGGAGCUAGAUCGACAAAGGAAAGAGGAAAUAUUAGGUUGUGGCUGGAGCUGGUGGCUGGAACUCGAUCGAUGAAGGAAAUGAAAGGGAAAAUAUUUAGUUAUGGUUGGAGUUGGAUCGACGAAGGAAACGAAAGGGAAAAUAUUUGGGUGGAAAAACAGCGUCAUUUUUCAUUAACAAUCCACAUUACAACCCAAACACAGCUCCAUCGACAAAGAAAAUGGGAAAUAUUUGGCAAGGAAAAAUGGCGUCGUUUUUGGCUUUAGCAAAACACUAUAUUUAAAUUUCGAGGUUUGACCCGGUGUAAAUAUCAUUUUCCUUACAUUUAUAUGUAUAUCAAUUACAAAAGUGAUGAGAUAAAAUUGGAGACAAAAUCAAUAGAAUAAAGACAUGUCUAUGGAUGCUUGAUAAAUUAAAAUAAAUGAUUUAUCUUUUUAUUAUGAGAUGCUAAAACUUCUCUUAGAAAGUCCCAUUAACAUUUAAAUGCAGCCUAUUUACGAAGUC
rnacentral:lncRNA from 1 species